rnacentral:rRNA from 1 species
GACGAACGCUGGCGGCGCGCUUAACACAUGCAAGUCGAGCGAAGCGGCGGACGGGUGAGUAACACGUGAGUAAACUGCCUUAGACAUUGGGAUAGCCUCGGGAAACCGGGAUUAAUACCAACUGGUCUAAGAUGGACUCGGGUCCAAUUAGCUAGUUGGUGAGGUAACGGCCCACCGAGGCGACGGUGGGUAGCCGGCCUGGGAGGGUGAACGGCCACAUUGGAACUGAGACACGGUCCAAGCUCUACGGUAGGCAGCGGUGGGGAAUAUUGCACAAUGGAGGGAACGCUGAUGCAGCGACGCCGCGGGAACGAAGAAGGCUUUCGAGUCGUAAAGUUCUUUUAUAUGGGAAGCGGUACCAUAAGAAAAAGCCCCGGCUAACUACGUGCCAGCCGCCGCGGUAAUUC